GGGGGUAUAGCUCUGUAGUAGAGUAUUCGACUAAAAAUCGAGAGAUCCUUGGUUUAAACACGGGUGUCUUCU